rnacentral:lncRNA from 1 species
UUUGCCAUGUUGACCAGGCUGGUCUUGAACUCCCGAUUUCAAGUGAUCUGCCUGCUUCAACCUCCCAAAGUGCUGGGAUUAUAGGCGUGAGCCACCGUGCCCAGCAGGGACAGGUUUUAAUCAGUCAUAAGCCAUUGCUUUAGAGAGCAGGGCCCAGCGGGAACUGAGCUCCACUUGGAUUUGUGCGGAGGUGAUGGGAGGGGUGGUGGUUGGGAGGGGGGCUCAAGAGUCAGGAAGGGGAACCAGAGAGAGCAGGAAGGAGUGUGGUUGGCGUGACACCUGUCUGGGUUUGCUAACUGGCGCUUAGGGUUAGGCUCCUGCCCUCCCUUGGAGGCUGGGGGACAGGGUCCAUCUUCUAGUGUUGCUGGAACAAACAGUAAUUUCUUUCAGCAGCUUUGGGCUUUCUCAGGCAGGUACGGGCAUCCCACAGAUGUGGUCUUGAGAUGUUGGACACCAUGUAACUUAAGUCUUUUCAUGGGAGUAUGGGGGUGUGGACUUAAGCAUUUGUGCUGAAAGUCUGCAGUUUUAAUAUGCCAAGUUUGAGGUCUAGUGGAGAUGGGAGUUCAGAGGAAGGCUGGCGAGAGCGUGCUCAAGGAGAGAAUUUUUGUCAGGACUGUGGCUCUAGAUUCAAAUGGCCCAAAUUCAAAUGGGUUUAAAUCCUGACUCUGUGACAGAGUAGCUGGGCAACCUUUGGAAAUGUUCCUUCAUCUUAGAGACUUAGAUCUCUCGUUUUAUUUAUUUAUUUAUUUAAAUUUU